GGCGAAUCCGCGGCUCGCGCCGCCCGCCCCGCCCGCGCGCGCCGGGCCCGGGAGGAGGGUGCGCGGUGGAGGGGGAGUCGGGGAGGGGCCGCGCCGGGUCCUUGCCCGCAGCGGGCACGGCCGGGGGCCCCGGGAGGCCUUGUUGGUAUUCCGGGCACAGCCGAAGCCCUGAUCUCCCCGCGGAACUGGGGCGCCCGGGAGCGCUGCACGGCCGCCCCCCCCCACCCCGGGCGGUUUCCCCCAGGCUGCGGGGCCGUAGGCGCCUCGCUUCCCCCGCCCGUCCCCUCCUCUCCAGGUCCCCCGGACCCCCUCCCCCGCCCUGAUCCGGCGGCGAAGGGGUGGGCAGGGAAACGCGCUCUCUGGGACAGGUGCCAACUCCGAGACAAAAGACAUAAAAUAGGCGGCAACGGGGGAAGCGCGGCCGGCGCGCUCGGGCGGGGACGGAGGCGCCGCGGGGGCCGCAUCCUCGGUGCCGACCGGGGAAAGUUUGGGAAGUCGCCGCGGCGGCUUCGCGGCGGCGGGGGACACGCGGGCCGGGCCGCCCUCCGCGCCGCGCUCGCCCUCUCCGCGCCGCUGCUGAAUAAUUCAUGGCGCGGCCGCCGGCCAUUAGCAUGCACCGGGCGCGCGGCGCGUCUGUGCCCAGCCGCCGCCGCCGCCGCCGCCGCGGCAUUCGGCGCCCCGGCCGCGCUCGAUGAGCGGCCGCGCGGAGGCCGAGCCCGCGCUGUCCCCGCGCUCACUCGCCGGUCCGCUGGCCGGCCGGCUCCCAUUGUGCCCCGGGCCUGCGCCCCGGGCCGUCCGGUGACUGCCCGCGCCCCGCAGCGCGCCCGACGGCCGGGCGCUGGAAGUUCGGGCCCACGGCGCUCGCCCGCCCGCCCCGGGAUGCACGUGAACUUGGAGAAAGUCGCGGGGCGCGCUGGCGCGGACCUCCGCGGCAGGGCGUGGGCGCCCCUGGCCCCGCGCGCUUUCGUUUUCGCCCCGGACAAAGGUCCUUCGCGGCGCAGGUCGCGGACGUGGAGACCGUGUCCUGCGGGUCACUCUGCGGGUUGGUCCGAUCGUUCAACCCGGGGAAGUCGGAGCGAGAAGAGGACGAGCGGCGCGGUCGGAGCGCGGUGCGGGACCCAGGGAGUGGGGCCUGGCCGUGCGCUUCGCCCGCGCCGUCCCGGAGCUGUCCCGCCCUGGGAAGAGUUGUGGGACAUGGCAUGGCUUUGCUCUUUGCCCCUUUCGCCGCGUGAAGGGGAGAAUCAUUUUGGAAGCCAGAACUCGGACCGAUGGGCCAGGGCCUGUGCAGCCGUGGGCGCGAUAGCGCAGCGCCGGCUGCGUCCGAGCGCGAUCCUCCGGCAAGGGCAGAGCUGCAGACCAGCGCGCCCCCGGCUCGAUCGGGUUCAAGGCGACUCUUGA
rnacentral:lncRNA from 1 species